rnacentral:rRNA from 1 species
GCGCGAAAACUUCGCACUGUGCGAAAGCACGACGAGGGAAUCCCAAGUGCUGGCUCGUAAGAGUCAGCUGUUUUUCUGUCUAAAAAACAGGGAGAGUAAGAGCUGGGUAAGACGGGUGCCAGCCGCCGCGGUAAUACCUGCAGCUCAAGUGGUGACCGCUAUUAUUGGGCCUAAAACGUCCGUAGCCGGUUUCAUAAAUGCCUGGGUAAAUCGUACGGCUUAACCGUACGAAUUCCGGGUAGACUGUUUAACUUGAGACCGGGAGAGGCUAGAGGUACUCCUGGGGUAGAGGUGAAAUUCUGUAAUCCUAGGGGGACCACCAGUGGCGAAGGCGUCUAGCUAGAACGGGUCUGACGGUGAGGGACGAAGCCCUGGGGAGCGAAACGGGAUUAGAUACCCCGGUAGUCCAGGGUGUAAACGCUGCUCGCUUGAUGUUAGUCGGGCUCCGAGCCCAACUAGUGUCGGAGAGAAGUUGUUAAGCGAGCCUGCCUGGGGGACGUACGGCGACGAGGUCUAAGUAAAACGUUAAAGGAAGUUGGGGACGGGGA